rnacentral:rRNA from 1 species
CCUACGGGAGGCAGCAGUGGGGGAUAUUGCACAAUGGGGGAAACCCUGAUCCAGCGACGCCGCGUGAGUGAAGAAGUAUUUCGGUAUGUAAAGCUCUAUCAGCAGGGAAGAAAGUGACGGUAGCUGAUUAAGAAGCCGCGGCUAACUACGUGCCAGCAGCCGCGGGAAUACGUAGGGGGCAAGCGUUAUCCGGAGUUACUGGGUGUAAAGGGAGCGUAGACGGCAGAACAAGUCUGGAGUGAAAGGCCGGGGCUUAACCCCGGAACUGCUUUGGAAACUGUGGAGCUAGAGUGCAGGAGAGGUAAGUGGAAUUCCUAGUGUAGCGGUGAAAUGCGUAGAUAUUAGGAGGAACACCAGUGGCGAAGGCGGCUUACUGGACUGUAACUGACGUUGAGGCUCGAAAGCGUGGGGAGCAAACAGGAUUAGAUACCCUGGUAGUC